CCCGUUCCCAUCCCGAACACGGUAGUUAAGCUUCUCUGCGCCAAUGGUAGUUGGGGGUUUCCCCCUGCGAGAGUAGGUCGCUGCCGGGC
rnacentral:rRNA from 1 species